UACGUAGGGGGCAAGCGUUGUCCGGAUUUAUUGGGCGUAAAGAGCGUGUAGGCGGUUAGGUAGGUCCGUUGUGAAAACUCGAGGCUCAACCUCGAGACGCCGAUGGAAACCAUCUAACUAGAGUCCGGAAGAGGAGAGUGGAAUUCCUGGUGUAGCGGUGAAAUGCGCAGGAUAAUCAGGAAGAACACCCGUGGCUAAGGCGGCUCUCUAGUACGGUACUGACGCUGAGACGCGAAAGCGUGGGGAGCGAACAGG
rnacentral:rRNA from 1 species